AGAGUCAAUGGAGAAAAUGCCUGGGUACAUGGGCAUUUAGCAGACCAGGAAAGGACUGAAAAGCAGAUCUGAACAGCAGAAAGUGUGGAGAAGAGAUUGGAGUGAGGCAAUACAUGGGAGCAAGACUGCAGGCUGGACGAUGGAUCAGGAAUUCAUUGCAAUAAUCAGGCCCAGGGAUAACCAGGACCUACUGACAGCUACUACAUGAGUGAGCUCGGAAGUCGGUCCUAACUCAGCUGUAGCCUUCUGGAGACUGCAGUCCCUCUGGACAGCUUAACUGCAACUUCAUGAGAGACCUUGAACCUAAACUACCAGGGACCCAAAUUUCUGACCCACAGAAACUAUGAGACAAAGUUUUUUGCUAUAAGUUGGUAAAUUUGUUAUUUACCAAUUUUUGGGGGUAAUUUGUUAUACAUACAUGGAUAACUAAUUCAUCAGAUUAAUGAAAGUGAAGGGAAGGUGGUGAUCGGUUUCCAGGACCCAGCACAGUUGGAUAACUUUCUCCAGCAGCCCUAGACAACUCCAGACAAUAUGCUUGUCGACUUUAUAUGCCAUUGAUAUUAUGCGAUGUCCAAUAAUAUCUUUUUUUAAUAGUAUUUUUUAUUUUUUUCUUUCUAAUUUUGCUGUUUUAAGGCUGUGGUUCCCAGGUUAGGGGUUGAAUCAGAGCUGUAGCUGCCAGCCUAAGCCAUAGCCACAGAAACACAGGAUCCAAGCCGCGUCUGCGACCUAUACCACAGCUCACGGCAACGCCGGAUCCUUAACCCACUGAGUGAGGCCAGGGACUGAACCCACAUCCUCAUGGACCCUAGUAGGGUUCGUUAACCACUGAGCCACGAAGGGAACUCCUUCGAUAGUAUCUUUUGAUAAAAUAAUUUUGCCAAAAUCUUAUUUAACUUUCUUAAUGAGCUAUUAACCAUUAACACUAUGUCUGACUUUAAAAGCUUUUUGACAAGAAUGUGUCCUGUCACUGUUUUGACUUUAAAAAGCAUAGCUUGAAGUUCCCAUCAUGGCACGCAGAAAUGAAUCUGACUAGGAACCAUAAGGUUGUGAGUUUGAUCCCUGGCCUAUGCUCAGUGGGUUAAGGAUCCAGCGUUACCGUGAGCAAUGGUGUAGUUCGCAGAGGCGGCUCAGAUCUGGCGUUGCUAUGGCUGUGCUGUAGGCUGGCAGUUGUAGCUCCGAUUAGACCCCUAGUCUGGGAACCUCCAUGUGCCACUAGUGUGGCCCUAAAAAGCAAAAAAAAAAAAAAAAAAAUUUAAAUAAGUAAAAAGCAUAACUUUAUUUUUUUAUUUUUAUUUUAUUUUUUAAGGGCUGCACAUGUGGCAUAUGGAAGUUCUCAGGCUAGGGGUCAAAUAGGAGCUGCCGCUGCAGGCCUAUGCCACAGCCACAGCCACACCAGAUCCAAGCCUUACCUGUGGCCUAAACCACAGCUCAUGGCAAUGCUGGAUCCUUAACCCACAGAGCGAGGCCUGGGCUCGAACCCGAAACAUCAUGGUUACUAGUUGGAUUGGUUUCCACUUGUUCCCAUUGGUUCUGGGAACUCCAGAUAGCUUUAUAGUUUUGAUCACUUCUCUUACUUUUAGGAAGAAAUUUUAUCAAAGUUAUAUCAGUAAACAUUAUUUUGUGGGAUCUUCUUCCUCCAGAAAAAAUAUUUUUUGUGGUUACUAGAUUGGCCACCGAACUUUUUUCAAAAAUGGCACUAAAAUUUCAUUUGUUUGACUAAGUUUCAUAAUCUAUGUAAUGAAAUAGAUGUAAUGUACUGGGGGCCAGGGGCAAAUGGACUACCAGUUUAAUAAAAACAUACAUCUUAGAGCCUCA
rnacentral:lncRNA from 1 species